UCGGCUCACAGCCCCAGAUCGCCUCCGCGGCGCGAAGGGCGCGAGAAUCGGCGAGAUCAAUACGGCGACAGACUCGACCGAGAUGAUAGACGUCGAGUGCCCUAUUCCCCUCCGAGGGGUGGGUCUUACGCUCCUCGGCAGCCAGAUGAUAGGCGUCAGUACAGUACAGGGCGAAGAGUUCCAGUUGACCCCAGAGAGCCAGGCUUCGACGCGCGGUCCAUUAUCGUGCAAGGGUUGGUCGACCGGAACAGAGCCCAUCGAGGUGCACUCGACAGAGAUGUACCCACAAGCAGUCGAGUGCAUGUUUCUGGUCCUGAAUGUUUCAGCAGAGCUAUCAGAGCCGCAGUUAUCCCCCCCAAUUUCAGGUUGGCAACAGGAGUCAGCAAGUUCACUGAUGAGUCUAAGCCUGAAACUUGGCUUGAAGACUACCGAGUGGCAGUUCAGAUUGGUGGUGGAAACGACGAGGUGGCCAUGAAGCACUUGCCUCUCAUGCUGGAAGGUUCUGCCAGGGCAUGGUUGACUCAAUUACCUCCUAGCAGCAUUUACACUUGGGAAGAUCUGUCCCGAGUGUUCGUCAGAACAUUUGAAGGGACUUGCAAGCGACCAGCUGGAUUGACAGAGUUGCAAGUCUGCGUGCAGAAAGCUAAUGAGACUCUCAGAGAGUAUAUUCAUAGGUGGAUCACUUUGCACCACACUGUGGAAAAUGUCUCUGAUCAUCAGGCAGUCUGCGCCUUCAAAGACGGCGUCAAGAACAGAGAACUGAGCUUG
rnacentral:rRNA from 1 species